rnacentral:rRNA from 1 species
AUAACCGGCGAUUUCCGAAUGGGGAAACCCAGUGUGUUUCGACACACUAUCAUUAACUGAAUCCAUAGGUUAAUGAGGCGAACCGGGGGAACUGAAACAUCUAAGUACCCCGAGGAAAAGAAAUCAACCGAGAUUCCCCCAGUAGCGGCGAGCGAACGGGGAGCAGCCCAGAGCCUGAAUCAGUGUGUGUGUUAGUGGAAGCGUCUGGAAAGGCGCGCGAUACAGGGUGACAGCCCCGUACACAAAAAUACACAUACUGUGAGCUCGAUGAGUAGGGCGGGACACGUGGUAUCCUGUCUGAAUAUGGGGGGACCAUCCUCCAAGGCUAAAUACUCCUGACUGACCGAUAGUGAACCAGUACCGUGAGGGAAAGGCGAAAAGAACCCCGGCGAGGGGAGUGAAAAAGAACCUGAAACCGUGUACGUACAAGCAGUGGGAGCACGCUUAGGCGUGUGACUGCGUACCUUUUGUAUAAUGGGUCAGCGACUUAUAUUCUGUAGCAAGGUUAACCGAAUAGGGGAGCCGAAGGGAAACCGAGUCUUAACUGGGCGUUAAGUUGCAGGGUAUAGACCCGAAACCCGGUGAUCUAGCCAUGGGCAGGUUGAAGGUUGGGUAACACUAACUGGAGGACCGAACCGACUAAUGUUGAAAAAUUAGCGGAUGACUUGUGG